GCUGCCUGAGUCAAUGCGACUCCUGGCCUUCUUCCAAACCAAACCCUAGGCUAUACGGUCUCUCUCUCUCUCUCUCACAGAGAUUUCCAGAUGGUGGAAGCUUUGAAAAUGCCGCAGCCACUACCAGCUCCGCAGCCGCUUCCGGCUCCUUCAAAACCUCGUGGUGGAUCUUCAACAACAUCUAUGAGAAGUUGUCUGGAGUUUCGUGUGUUUGCGGACAGAAGUGCUUGUACCUUGAGAAAUGAGAGAAGUUGGUGAAGGGUUUUCAGAGUCUAGCAUGGCCGAGAUGGACAUAUAGUGGCACAUAUUUUAGUGGACAACUAUGUUGUGAUGCCUUUGUCAUUUAAGAAAUUUAUUUUAAUUUUCUUUUGGAGGGCAAGCUACAGUAGAGGACACCAAAGUUUUAAACGGUUUGCCAACAUGAAGAAGAUUUUGCAACUCUCCUUUAGUAUGCUUUCUUCUAGAACUUUUUUUUUUUUUGGGUUUAAUCAUCCUUUUUCCAUCAUAAGAAUAAAAGCAACUCAUGACUGAUCA